GAUGAACGCUGACAGAAUGCUUAACACAUGCAAGUCUACUUGAAUUUGGGUUUUUUAACUUAGAUUUGGGUGGCGUACUGGUGAGUAACGCGUAAAGAACUUGCCUCACAGCUAGGGACAACAUUUGGAAACGAAUGCUAAUACCUGAUAUUAUGAUUAUAAGGCAUCUUAGAAUUAUGAAAGCUAUAUGCGCUGUGAGAGAGCUUUGCGUCCCAUUAGCUAGUUGGAGAGGUAACGGCUCACCAAGGCGAUGAUGGGUAGCCGGCCUGAGAGGGUGAACGGCCACAAGGGGACUGAGACACGGCCCUAACUCCUACGGGAGGCAGCAGUGGGGAAUAUUGGACAAUGGACCAAGAGUCUGAUCCAGCAAUUCUGUGUGAACGAUGACGUUUUUCGGAAUGUAAAGUGCUUUCAGUUGGGAAGAAAAAAAUGACGGUACCAACAGAAGAAGUGACGGCUAAAUACGUG
rnacentral:rRNA from 1 species